AGCUCCAAUAGCGUAUAUUAAAGUUGUUGCAGUUAAAAAGCUCGUAGUUGGAUUUCUGCUUUGAGCGUCCGGUCCGCUUCUGUGAAGUGUGUACUCUGGAUGUUUGAGGCAUUUUUUGUGAGGAUGUUUUUCUGCCAUUAAGUUGGUGGUUGAACAGACUUGCAUCGUUUACUGUGAAAAAAUUAGAGUGUUUAAAGCAGGCGUUUGCUCGUUGAAUACAUUAGCAUGGAAUAAUAAGAUACGACCUUGGUGGUCUAUUUUGUUGGUUUGCACACCAGGGUAAUGAUUAAUAGGGACAGUUGGGGGUAUUCAUAUUUCAGCGUCAGAGGUGAAAUUCUUGGAUCGCUGAAAGAUGAGCUUAGGCGAAAGCAUUUACCAAGGAUGUUUUCA
rnacentral:rRNA from 1 species